CGCGGGGCUCCGGGCGCGCUCCCCGCACUACUCCAGUGCCAUGGUGCGCCCAAGGAGCCUCUCGGUUUAGAGCUGGGGUUGGUGGCGGAGGGAUACUCCGGCCGGGAGCCGCUUCACCCCUCCUCAAACUUCCUGACAUUUGAACUCAUUGGUGCGCCUCGUAUCACUGCGCCGGGAUGAGCCGGCUGCUCCACGUCAAAUAGUGCCGUCGCCGCCCCCCCCUCCCCGCGGGAGGGAUCCCCGAGCCCCCGGCCUGCACCCCGCACCGCGCCCCGGCCCCAGCCAGCCAUUCUGCCCAUCCUUAGCAGAAGUUUGGGUAGCCAUCGAAACAAACCCUGCGCCCCACCCCUCUUGAAAAAUUGAUUUGGGAGUUUGGGAAAUCAGGCUUUCUUUUUUUUUCUUUCUUGCCUUUUUUAUUAUUAAUAUUUUUGUAAAAAAAAAAAAAGCUCCAGCUCUGAGAGGAGUGGCCCCGAGUGAGGCCAGACUGUCCGGACGGCGGGGAGCGCAGAGACUCUUCCAGGGGACUGCGCCAGGCGGGAACAGCUGCACCGAAACCCAGACUUGUCGGCGAAGCUUCAAGAGAAACCCAGGAGCGAUGGGGGAAGGAAUGGACAGGAAGCUGUCAUCCAUCCUGGGACGUGGUCCUAAGUGCGGGCACUUGAGUGCCUAGCCUUGUUCCAGAUCCCACCCUGGGCACUCAGGCUCAGAGGCAGGGUCCUGUUCUCACAGAGAUGACAUAACCGACUGAGUGGAAAAUCAAUGUAACCCACCAGGAGACUUACAGAGGUGAGGAUCCAGGCCUAGCAUGCCCAUCGGUGAGCUCGAAGCUUGGGAAAUGCACAGGGGAACCAGGAGCUCAAGGUCAUCCUCUGCUACACAAUGAAUUCAAGGCCAGCAUGGGCUAAAUAAGACACUGUCUCAAACCAACACGCCAAACAAGCAAGCUAAUUGUUAACUUUAGUAAAACUGCAAAACUGAAGGGUGAAAUAAGAAAACCAGUUGAGGGCUGGAGAGAUGGCUCAGAGGUUAAGAGCACUGGCUGCUCUUCCAGAGGUCCUGAGUUCAAUUCCCAGCAACCACAUGGUGGCUCACAACCAUCCAUAAUGAGAUCUGGCG